rnacentral:rRNA from 1 species
GAUGAACGCUGGCGGCGUGCCUAAUACAUGCAAGUCGAGCGAACAGACGAGGAGCUUGCUCCUCUGACGUUAGCGGCAGACGGGUGAGUAACACGUGGAUAACCUACCUAUAAGACUGGGAUAACUUCGGGAAACCGGAGCUAAUACCGGAUAAUAUAUUGAACCGCAUGAUUCAAUAGUGAAAGACGGUUUUGCUGUCACUUAUAGAUGGAUCCGCGCCGCAUUAGCUAGUUGGUAAGGUAACGGCUUACCAAGGCAACGAUGCGUAGCCGACCUGAGAGGGUGAUCAGCCACACUGGAACUGAGACACGGUCCAGACUCCUACGGGAGGCAGCAGUAGGGAAUCUUCCGCAAAGGGCGAAAGCUUGACGGAGCAACGCCGCGUGAGUGAUGAAGGUCUUCGGAUCGUAAAACUCUGUUAUUAGGGAAGAACAAAUGUGUAAGUAACUAUGCACGUCUUGACGGUACCCAAUCAGAAAGCCACGGCUAACUACGUG